rnacentral:rRNA from 1 species
UACGUAGGGUGCGAGCGUUGUCCGGAAUUAUUGGGCGUAAAGAGCUCGUAGGCGGUCUGUCGCGUCGAAUGUGAAAACCCGGGGCUCAACUCCGGGCUUGCAUUCGAUACGGGCAGGCUAGAGUUCGGUAGGGGAGUCUGGGAAUUCCUGGUGUAGCGGUGAAAUGCGCAGAUAUCAGGAGGAACACCGGUGGCGAAGGCGGCUAUGUCGACCGACAU